GUGUCAGCAGCCGCGGUAAUACGGGGGGUGCGAGCGUUGUUCGGAUUUAUUGGGCGUAAAGCGCGUGCAGGCGGUUUGUCAAGUCUGAUGUGAAAGCCCCGGGCCCAACCCGGGAAGUGCAUUGGAAACUGGCAGACUUGAAUACGGGAGAGGGUAGUGGAAUUCCUGGUGUAGGAGUGAAAUCCGUAGAUAUCAGGAAGAACACCGGUGGCGAAGGCGGCUACCUGGACCGAUAUUGACGCUGAGACGCGAAAGCGUGGGUAGCAAACAGGAUUAGAAACCCCUGUAGUCC
rnacentral:rRNA from 1 species